AGUCAACAUGCCCAGGGGAUGUGGAUAACCUCGGGAAACUGAGGAUAAACUGCGAUAGGCCAAGGUUUCUGGAAUGGACAAUGGCCGAAACCUAUAUGGCCCCUGGAUUGGACUGCGGCCGAUCAGGCUGUUGGUGAGGUAAUGGCCCACCAAACCUGUAACCGGUACGGGCUUUGAGAGAAGGAGCCCGGAGAUGGGCACUGAGACAAGGGCCCAGGCCCUAUGGGGCGCAGCAGGCGCGAAACCUCUGCAAUAGGCGAAAGCUUGACAGGGUUACUCUGAGUGAUGUCCGCUAAGGGCAUCUUUUGGCACCUCUAAAAAUGGUGCAGAAUAAGGGGUGGGCAAGUCUGGUGUCAGCCGCCGCGGUAAUACCAGCACCCCGAGUGGUCGGGACGAUUAUUGGGCCUAAAGCAUCCGUAGCUUGUCCUGCAAGUCUUCCGUUAAAUCCACCUGCUCAACAGAUGGGCUGCGGGGGAUACUACAGGGCUAGGAGGCGGGAGAGGCAAACGGUACUCAGUGGGUAGGGGUAAAAUCCACUGAUCCACUGAAGACCACCAGUGGCGAAGGCGGUUUGCCAGAACGCGCUCGACGGUGAGGGAUGAAAGCUGGGGGAGCAAACCGGAUUAGAUACCCGGGUAGUCCCAGCUGUAAACGAUGCAGACUCGGUGGUGGGUUGGCUUUGAGCCAACCCAGUGCCGCAGGGAAGCCGUUAAGUCUGCCGCCUGGGGAGUACGGUCGCAAGACUGAAACUUAA
rnacentral:rRNA from 1 species